rnacentral:rRNA from 1 species
CCUACGGGAGGCAGCAGUGAGGAAUAUUGGUCAAUGGGCGUAAGCCUGAACCAGCCACGUCGCGUGAGGGAUGAAGGUUCUAUGGAUCGUAAACCUCUUUUAUAAGGGAAUAAAGUGUGGGACGUGUCCUAUUUUGUAUGUACCUUAUGAAUAAGGAUCGGCUAACUCCGUGCCAGCAGCCGCGGUAAUACGGAGGGUCCGAGCGUUAUCCGGAUUUAUUGGGUUGAAAGGGUGCGUAGGCGGCCUUUUAAGUCAGCGGUGAAAGUCUGUGGCUCAACCAUAGAAUUGCCGUUGAAACUGGGGGGCUGGAGUGUGUGUGAGGCAGGCGGAAUGCGUGGUGUAGCGGUGAAAUGCUUAGAUAUCACGCAGAACCCCGAUGGCGAAGGCAGCCUGCCAGGCCAUGACUGACGCUGAUGCACGAAAGCGUGGGGAUCAAACAGGAUUAGAUACCCGAGUAGUC